rnacentral:lncRNA from 1 species
AUGAGGUCUCCUCAGGAUAAAGAGGCUCUCUUCUUAACCCACAUCUACACCAUUUUAGACAGCAGAGGGCGCCCUACUGACAGCAUCUGAGGGACUGCCGCGAGGAAGGACCAGGCGAUCCGAGGCUGUGUGGAGAAAGCUGAUAACGCCCAAGAAUAAAGUCAAUUUAAAGAAGAAAAGCGAUGGAAACUGUUUGGAGGUGCUUUCCAGCCGCGUUCCAGAUUCUGGGUCUGGAGAUGGGGAAACAGAACCAGAGAGCAUGCCGGGAAGUGGGUAGCGUAUGGCAGUGUUAGAGCCCACGUCUUCUGAAGUCCACUCUUCUUCCCAGCACACCGUGAAACUUUGGCACAUUUCCCUUUGAAGUUCCACUGCAUUUAUUCCAGAAGAAAGGAGUUUAUUCACCCAGACAAAAGUAUACACUGAAAUGUCUAAGGUGUCCUCACAUGUGGCAAAAAUUGAGGCUGGACAUUUCCUCUGGCCCAGUGGACAGCUACUGUGCUGGCCAGGUUCUGCAAACUUCCUUGCUAGGAGAAAGGUAAUUUUAUUCCAAGACGUGCCUUUCUUUCGGAUGGGCCUUGUUCUACCCUCACGGGUCUUCCUGACUUUGAAUCAGGGAGCAGGGUUUGGGGGUAUCAGACCCGUCUGUCUUGGAAUACGCAAUAUGCAAAUCAGCCCACUUUCUUCCUCGGAGACCAGCCCCAGCUGCCAAUGGGUAUUAUGAGGGGUUUGACUUGGAUAAAGAAAGAGAAGUUGAAAAAUCCUGUAUCAGAAAAGAAGUUCAUGGGCUAUGGGAACCAAUUUGGGGUUACCUCUGGGGAAUUAGAGAUGUUUGCUGUGCAUGUUUCCUGGAGGAUCAAAUUGCAACUGUAAGUAAAUGUUUGAGGAUCCACGUGAACAGAGGACUGAGAAGAGAAACAAGGCAGGCUCUUAGUGCCUCAGUGCACUUUCCUUUUCUCAUCAUCCACUAAAUUAUGAAUUUAAUGAAGUUACUCUGAUACCUAUGAAGUCAAAUGAGAGUUCAGUGUAUUUUUGAUUGAAUUAUCCAGUUUGACUAUUGACAUGUACAAUAUUUAAUUUAAUUUAUUGCUGCUUACAUAGUUAUGGACACUCAGUAUAAAUGAAAGCAAUGAAUUUGCUUGCAUUUUCAAAGCAGUAGCCUCUCCUGGGAAUGUGAGCAAUAAAGGGAUGUGGCUGCUCUCAAAAGGAAAGAGAC